rnacentral:rRNA from 1 species
CCUACGGUUGGCAGCAGUGGGGAAUAUUGCACAAUGGGCGCAAGCCUGAUGCAGCCAUGCCGCGUGUGUGAAGAAGGCCUUCGGGUUGUAAAGCACUUUCAGCGGGGAGGAAGGCGUUAAGGUUAAUAACCUUGGCGAUUGACGUUACCCGCAGAAGAAGCACCGGCUAACUCCGUGCCAGCAGCCGCGGUAAUACGGAGGGUGCAAGCGUUAAUCGGAAUUACUGGGCGUAAAGCGCACGCAGGCGGUCUGUCAAGUCGGAUGUGAAAUCCCCGGGCUCAACCUGGGAACUGCAUUCGAAACUGGGAGGCUAGAGUGUUGUAGAGGGGAGUAGAAUUCCAGGAGUAGCGGUGAAAUGCGUAGAGAUCUGGAGGAAUACCGGUGGCGAAGGCGGCCCCCUGGACAAAGACUGACGCUCAGGUGCGAAAGCGUGGGGAGCAAACAGGAUUAGAUACCCCGGUAGUC